GGGCCAGGGGGUCUGGUUUUAUAGUCCCCUCAAGUGAACGUCAGCCAUUGGAUCAAACCGACAUUGAUUGGACGGUUAUCCUUGAUCCUUUAGGUCAGUGGAGCGUCGUCCGCGAAAAGAGUCCCGAACCAAGUCCAAGAGGGGAAGGGCGCCCAGGUCAACUGGGCGGGCGCCCAGUGCCUGGCCCCGUUCGGCCUCCGCUUCCUUCCCGUGGCUUCUGGAGUCUUCUAGAUGGUAGAAAAUUGCGCGGUGCGUUGAUAUCUCUAUGUAAUCCCGACAUGUGGGCCUUUCUUCCUUAUUUCCUGAUAACCCCCUGCAGAAACAGAUAAACAACAAAACUCGUGGAAUUCUGUCAGAUUAAACCCUAAUUCUAGGUGUUGUUUGCAUAUUGGUCCUUUCUCUUAUUUAUUUGAUAAUUAAAAUUGAUACUUAAGAACCGUCAACAAAUACCCCCAUACUUAGGCUUUUACUCGUCCUCGAGAAAAGGAUGGUUAAGAACAAUAUCUGGGGUAAAACAUUUUAAAACAUUCUCUUCAUAACUGCAGGGUGUUAAAAUCCACUGUGUACUGUAGUCAGGGAAGUAAAGAUCCUUUCUUCUCAAUCCUGUCACUUGGAGUUUUUUUAUAUUUUUGAAAACAAAGUUAGCAUACCUUUAUCCUCAUAGGUUCUCUUAGAUCACUCAUUUAUCUUUUAUAUCUCACUGAGGCUGUUUUAAUUUGCAAAAAUUCUCAAGCAUACUUACCUUGUAUUUAUUGCCUGAUCAAAAUAGGAUCCGAGGAGGGGAAUGUCAUACUCUUAGAUCAAAGACUUUGGAAAUUAAAAUCUUUGUCGACUCUUGCUGGCAUAUUGCUUAUUAGAGGGACCAUGGGCUAUCUUUUUCUUUUUCUUCUUCUUUUUUUAAGUGGAUACCGAAGUACCCCUAAUUCUACUGCCGGACACAUGUCCAUUUUUUCUGCGAGGUUAUCGAGCACUUGCUCCUUUUUAUUUCCUCGAAAUAUCUUUAUUUUUGCAUAGCCCAUGCCUCUAAUGCAAUAAUACUUCGAAAGAGUGAAUCUUUCUGAAUAGAUGUCUUGAUCUUAGGAGCAUGAUAAAUCUCUCAACAAGGGUCUAACUCAUUUUGAACAAACUCAAUACAGAGUAGAUAGCUUUUAUAAUCAUAAUUAAUAUUUUCAGUUUUAUCUCGCAUAUAAAACACUGAGGAUGGUAGCUAGAAUUUUGAAGAUUUUGAAAUAAAUUCUCCAAGUAACAAUGAUAUCAAGAAUAAGAAACUCAUACUCUACCAUCUCACAUUCCAUAAUGACUUAAGUAACACAGGGUUUUUAAAAUGAUUUUCAAUAAUUUGUAGUUUCAAGGAGAUAUCAUGAUUUGUAACAUUUUAAUCUUUUUAAUUUAUCAUGUUGGAAACAAUAUUCUGCAAAAUCUAAGAUAUAUAUGAGCAUGUGUAAAAUGUGCAGAGUGUGUACCUGAAAAAUGGAGUGGUGUAGUCGAAGUGUGUUUGGCAUGUCG
rnacentral:lncRNA from 1 species